ensembl:lncRNA
AUUUUAUUUUAGAGCCAAAUUCUACAUAAUUUACUAUUUCAGCUCACACUAACUUUGUUCCCAUUUCCAUCAAACUUCCCUUUUUAUGCUGUCAUUGAUUUCAUUUGUAUAUUGCAUUGGGUAACACUAAUUUCCAGACAACUGUUCUCAUGAUUUCUGAAAAAGAAGUGAUACAUUUCCAAGAAAGUACUAUUUAAUAGCUAAAAGUUGAAAGGGAAAGGAAAAGCGUUUGUCAGCGAUGAACCUUAUCAAGAGUUUCUCUUCUUCUUUUUAGGAUACUCUGAUGGACGCUGACGUGAAUUCAUCCAUUAUUUCUACAACUUUAAAUUACACAAUCAGUGUCAGGGCUGCAGCCAAGGGACCUCAUUCAAGGACUGAACAUGCACACACAAGAAUAAAUGUGUUGCUGCAAGACAUCAAAUAAUUUGGUUUGUUAUUUGUACGAGACGGGGCUGGACUCGGAGCUCUAGAACCUGUUGGACCUGUAAACGUUUUAAAGACAGCACGAUGGCACGCGUCAGAGAUCUCAGCAGGUGCUGCUGGCCUUAGGUGGUCUUUCAUGUUUCUCACCAUAACAGUGCUGCAGAGAACAGACCUGCCUCUGCACAUCAUGUUGACGAGAAACCUUCUGAUAGCAUCCAGACUGUUUCUAAAGAGUUUCAGUUUUUUAGUGCAGUCGCCUCACAGCUAGAAGCCUCUCGGUCAGCAUUUCCAUCUCUGUGUGAAGUUCAUA